rnacentral:rRNA from 1 species
ACAGGGAUUGCCCUAGUAACGGCGAGUGAAGCGGCAACAGCUCAAAUUUGAAAUCUGGCUCUUUUAGAGUCCGAGUUGUAAUUUGCAGAGGGCGCUUUGGCGUCGGCAGCGGUCCAAGUUCUUUGGAACAGGACGUCACAGAGGGUGAGAAUCCCGUACGUGGUCGCUAGCCUUCGCCGUGUAAAGCCCCUUCGACGAGUCGAGUUGUUUGGGAAUGCAGCUCUAAAUGGGAGGUAAAUUUCUUCUAAAGCUAAAUACUGGCCAGAGACCGAUAGCGCACAAGUAGAGUGAUCGAAAGAUGAAAAGCACUUUGGAAAGAGAGUCAAAUAGCACGUGAAAUUGUUGAAAGGGAAGCGCUUGCAGCCAGACUUGCCUGUAGUUGCUUAUCCGGACUUUUGUCCGGUGCACUCUUCUGCGGGCAGGCCAGCAUCAGUUUGGGCGGUUAGAUAAAGGUCUCUGUCAUGUACCUCCUUUCGGGGAGGCCUUAUAGGGGAGACGACAUGUAACCAGCCUGGACUGAGGUCCGCGCAUCUGCUAGGAUGCUGGCGUAAUGGCUGUAAGCGGCCCGUCUUGAAACACGGACCAAGGAGUCUAACAUCUAUGCGAGUGUUUGGGUGUCAAGCCCAGACGCGUAAUGAAAGUGAACGGAGGUGGGAACCUUUUAGGUGCACCAUCGACCGAUCCUGAUGUCUUCGGAAGGAUUUGAGUAAGAGCAUGGCUGUUGGGACCCGAAAGAUGGUGAACUAUGCUUGAAUAGGGUGAAGCCAGAGGAAACUCUGGUGGAGGCUCGCAGCGGUUCUGACGUGCAAAUCGAUCGUCAAAUUUGGGCAUAGGGGCGAAAGACUAAUCGAACUAUCUAGUAGCUGGUUCCUGCCGAAGUUUCCCUCAGGAUAGCAGUAACGUAUUCAGUUUUAUGAGGUAAAGCGAAUGAUUAGAGGCCUGGGGGUUGAAACAACCUUCACCUAUUCUCAAACUUUAAAUAUGUAAGAAGUCCUUGUUACUUGAUUGAACGUGGACACUUGAAUGUACCGUUACUAGUGGGCCAUUUUUGGUAAGCAGAACUGGCGAUGCGGGAUGAACCGAACGCGGGGUUAAGGUGCCAGAAUAUACGCUCAUCAGACACCACAAAAGGUGUUAGUUCAUCUAGACAGCAGGACGGUGGCCAUGGAAGUCGGAAUCCGCUAAGGAGUGUGUAACAACUCACCUGCCGAAUGAACUAGCCCUGAAAAUGGAUGGCGCUCAAGCGUAUUACCCAUACCCCGCCGCCGGGGCAGAAUUUAUGCCCCGGCGAGUAGGCAGGCG